rnacentral:rRNA from 1 species
CCUACGGGAGGCAGCAGUGGGGAAUCUUGCGCAAUGGGCGAAAGCCUGACGCAGCGACGCCGCGUGGGGGAUGAAGGCCCUCGGGUUGUAAACCCCUUUCGGCAGGGACGAAGCGAUCGUGACGGUACCUGCAGAAGAAGCCUCGGCUAACUACGUGCCAGCAGCCGCGGUAAU